rnacentral:lncRNA from 1 species
CACAUAUCUAUUUCAAAGGAUUUUUCAUUUGAUGAGCAUUGGUUUCCUUAUUCUGAUUUAUUUCCUAAAUUACCAAACUCUAUUAAAGAUCUUAGUCAGUACUUUACAGUAAAUUCAAAGUUUUGACCACCUCAACAACUUGAAAAUUCAGUACCGUGCACUUCCAUAUCAUGUCACAGUGAUUCAACACUAAAUGUUUCCCCUUCU